rnacentral:rRNA from 1 species
AUUGAACGCUGGCGGCAGGCUUAACACAUGCAAGUCGAGCGAGUGGCGGACGGGUGAGUAAUGUCUGGGAAACUGCCUGAUGGAGGGGGAUAACUACUGGAAACGGUAGCUAAUACCGCAUACCAUCAGAUGUGCCCAGAUGGGAUUAGCUAGUAGGUGGGGUAAUGGCUCACCUAGGCGACGAUCCCUAGCUGGUCUGAGAGGAUGACGAGCCACACUGGAACUGGGACACGGUCCAGACGCCUACGGGGGGCAGCAGUGGGGAAUAUUGCACAAGGGGGGAAAGCCUGAUGCAGACAGGCCGCGUGUGUGGAGAAGGCCUUCGGGUUGUAAAGCACUUUCAGCGAGAAGGCGUUACUCGCAGAAGAAGCACCGGCUAACUCCGUGCCAGCAGCCGCGGUAAUAC